UCUAAUGGGAGAAGGAAAACUGGUUAGCCAAAAUGACCUGUGAGCUAUCACCAACCCUGACAUGCUGGGAUUCUAUGGAAGGUUUUAUAUUGCAAAGAAAGGUUAAGUCCCCAUUUGACAGAUAUUUUUGAUUGAUGCCAUCAUGAAGUAAAGAUUAGAGAAUGACAAAAUAAUAGUUAGAAUCCAAAUAGACUUUAUUCUUCACUUACAUGUGAAUAAAUUAGAUGCCACUUGAAAAUGAGAUUCCAACUUUAGUCGAAAAUUGUCCUGUAUCUUAUUAUAUGUUUCACAGUAAAGCUUUUUUUCUCCAACUCACUGAGUUUUCUUCUUCCUAGAAUUUACCAGAUGCUGAAUCAGAAGUAUUUUCUCCUUUUGGAAAGUAAUGUGCCUCACGAUUGCCUCCACACGUGCCUUCGAGGUUAGCUGGUCAGAAUGAGAUUGCUUAGAGUGGCCAGAGAAGGCAAAGAUGUUCUUAUGUCCUGAAUAUGCUUUUUCUUGAAAUCAUGUUUUGCUCUUUUAAAAUCAGUUUAAAGAUACAUUCUCUUUUUCUGGUUUGGCCCCCUAGCAUUUUUUAUAUGUUCUGUUGAGAUAAGUAUUGCUUAAAUGAAUCGUUUAUUGAAGGAAAAAUGAUCUGUUUUCCUUAUUUCAAGACUUAUCACCCUCCCUUUGGAAGAGACAAUGGAUUAUUUCAGAAACUGCAUGGUUCUGAGGUGCUCCUAGCAUAGGUCAGUUUUUUCUAUCUGCACUUGAGCAGCUUUCUUUAACAGAAUUUUGAGUCUCCCUUUUCCGUUUCAGAAGUUGAGGGUCAUUUGCUAAUAGAGAAUAGUAAGCUGUCAUUUCACUCUUGCUACCCAUACACAGAAUUUUUUUGGGUUCAUUUCUUCAGUACAUUCAAGGAAACACCAA
rnacentral:lncRNA from 1 species